rnacentral:rRNA from 1 species
AUUGAACGCUGGCGGCAGGCCUAACACAUGCAAGUCGAGCGCGAGGCGGGCGGGUGAGUAAUGUGUGGGAAAAUGCCUGUGGGAGGGGGAUAACUAUUGGAAAAGGUAUCUAAUAUCGCACACCAUCAGAUGUGCCCAGAUGGGAUUAGCUAGUAGGUGGGGUAACGGCUCACCUAGGCGCCGAUCCCUAGCUGGGCUGAGAGGAUGACCAGCCACACUGGAACUGAGACACGGUCCAGACGCCUACGGGAGGCAGCAGUGGGGAAUAUUGCACAAUGGGCGCAAGCCUGAUGCAGCCAUGCCGCGUGUGUGAAGAAGGCCGUCGGGUUGUAAAGCACUUUCAGCGGGGAGGCGUUACCCGCAGAAGAAGCACCGGCUAACUCCGUGCCAGCAGCCGCGGUAAUAC